CGGUUGAUCCUGCCGGAGGGAACCCCUAUCGGGUUCAGACUAAGCCAUGCGAGUCGGCUGGGGGCACUUGCCCCUGGCGGCGCACGGCUCAGUAAUACGCGGUCAACCUACCCUGGGGACCGGGAUAACCUCGGGAAACUGAGGCUAAUCCCGGAUGGGUGUAGGGUGCUGAAAUGCCCCUACGCCGAAAGUAGGCGGGAAAUGGACCGCUGAGGCCCCAGGAUGGGACCGCGGCCUAUCAGGUAGUAGGUGGGGUAACGGCCCACCUAGCCUACGACGGGUACGGGCCCUGAGAGGGGGAGCCCGGAGAUGGGCACUGAGACAAGGGUCUAGGCCCUAAGGGGCGCAGCAGGCGCGAAGAUUCCGCAAUGCCCGAAAGGGCGACGGAGUGAACCCGAGUGCCACCCGCUGAGGGUGGCUGUUCCCCUGUGUAAAAAGCAGGGGGUAGGAAGGGGAGGGCAAGGCUGGUGGCAGCCGCCGCGGUAAAACCAGCUCCCCGAGGGGUUCCUACGCAUACUGGGCCUAAAGCGUCCGUAGCCGGCCCUGUAAGUCCGCAGUUAAAUCCGCCUGUAGACAGGCGGGCUGCUGCGGAUACUGCAGGGCUAGGGAGCGGGAGGAGCCGGGGGUAUUCCCGGGGGAGCGGUAAAAUGCGUAGAUCCCGGGAGGACCACCAGUGGCGAAGGCGCCCGGCUUGAACGCGUCCGACGGUGAGGGACGAAAGCUGGGGGAGCAAACCGGAUUAGAUACCCGGGUGGUCCCAGCCGUAAACGAUGCCGGCUUAGGUGCUGGCCAAGGUUUCGACCUUUGGCCAGUGUCGAAGCGAAGGCAUUAAGCCGGCCGCCUGAGGAGUACGGCCGCAAGGCUGAAACUUUGAAGGAAUUGACGGGGGGGGCACCACAAGGGGUGAAUGCCUGCGGCUUAAUUGGACUCAACGCCGGGAAUCUUACCGGGGGCGAC
rnacentral:rRNA from 1 species